rnacentral:rRNA from 1 species
CAGUAGCCGCGGUAAUACGUAGGAGGCAAGCGUUGUCCGGAAUUAUUGGGCGUAAAGGGCUCGCAGGCGGUUUCUUAAGUCUGAUGUGAAAGCCCCCGGCUCAACCGGGGAGGGUCAUUGGAAACUGGGAAACUUGAGUGCAGAAGAGGAGAGUGGAAUUCCACGUGUAGCGGUGAAAUGCGUAGAGAUGUGGAGGAACACCAGUGGCGAAGGCGACUCUCUGGUCUGUAACUGACGCUGAGGAGCGAAAGCGUGGGGAGCGAACAGGAUUAGAUACCCCAGUAGUCCCUGUCUCUUAUAC